CGCUGGCGGCGUGCUUAACACAUGCAAGUCGAACGAGAAUCACCGGAAGGAGUUUUCGGACAACGGAAGGUGAGGACAGUGGCGGACGGGUGAGUAACGCGUGAGGAACCUGCCUUUCAGAGGGGGACAACAGUUGGAAACGACUGCUAAUACCGCAUAACGCAUAGGUAUCGCAUGGUACUUAUGCCAAAGAUUUAUCGCUGAAAGAUGGCCUCGCGUCUGAUUAGCUGGUUGGUGAGGUAACGGCCCACCAAGGCGACGAUCAGUAGCCGGACUGAGAGGUUGACCGGCCACAUUGGGACUGAGAUACGGCCCAGACUCCUACGGGAGGCAGCAGUGGGGAAUAUUGGGCAAUGGGCGCAAGCCUGACCCAGCAACGCCGCGUGAAGGAAGAAGGCUUUCGGGUUGUAAACUUCUUUUGGCAGGGAAGAGGAGAAGACGGUACCUGCCGAAUAAGCCACGGCUAACUACGUGCCAGCAGCCGCGGUAAUACGUAGGUGGCAAGCGUUGUCCGGAUUUACUGGGUGUAAAGGGCGUGUACCCGGGUUGGUAAGUCAGAUGUGAAAUGCACGGGCUUAACUCGUGAACUGCAUUUGAAACUGCUGAUCUUGA
rnacentral:rRNA from 1 species